GACGAACCGAGCGAACGUUGUUCGGAAUCAUUGGGCUUAAAGGGCGCGUAGGCGGGCGGUCGCGCCCGGGGUGAAAGCCGUCGGCCCAACCGACGGAGGGCCCCGGGGACGGACCGCCUCGAGGGGGGUAGGGGCACGCGGAACGGUGGGUGGAGCGGUGAAAUGCGUUGAGAUCCACCGGAACUCCGGCGGCGAAGGCGGCGUGCUGGGCCCUCUCUGACGCUGAGGCGCGAAAGCCAGGGGAGCGAACGGG
rnacentral:rRNA from 1 species